UCUCCGUAGGUGAACCUGCGGAGGGAUCAUUACAAAGUUCAUGCCCUACCGGGUAGAUCUCCCACCCUAUGUUAUUAUUACUUUGUUGCUUUUGCGGGCCGUUAGCCUCCGGCCCGACUACCGGCCCCGGCUGGUAAGCGCACGCAAGAGGACCCAAAACCCUGAAUAUUAUUGUCGUCUGAGUACUAUAUAUAGUUAAAACUUUCAACAACGGAUCUCUUGGUUCUU
rnacentral:misc_RNA from 1 species